rnacentral:misc_RNA from 1 species
CUGGGUGGCUUCGGCCUAAACCCCUAACCAUUGUGAACGAUACCAGUGGCUUAGCUGGUGGCAGUGAAUAACUGCAGUACCGGCGGCACGAGAGACUCUUCUAAUGUCAUCUCUGAGUUACUUUUAAAUAAGUCA